rnacentral:rRNA from 1 species
GAAAGCAGGGGAUCGCAAGACCUCGCGCUCAUGGAGCGGCCGAUGUCGGAUUAGCUAGUUGGCGGGGUAACGGCCCACCAAGGCGACGAUCCGUAGCUGGUCUGAGAGGAUGAUCAGCCACACUGGGACUGAGACACGGCCCAGACUCCUACGGGAGGCAGCAGUGGGGAAUUUUGGACAAUGGGGGCAACCCUGAUCCAGCCAUGCCGCGUGAGUGAAGAAGGCCUUCGGGUUGUAAAGCUCUUUCGGCCGGAACGAAAUCGGGCGCGUGAAUAACGCGCCUGGAUGACGGUACUGGAAGAAGAAGCACCGGCUAACUACGUGCCAGCAGCCGCGGUAAUACGUAGGGUGCGAGCGUUAAUCGGAAUUACUGGGCGUAAAGCGUGCGUAGGCGGUUUCGCAAGUCAGAUGUGAAAUCCCCGGGCUUAACCUGGGAACUGCGUUUGAAACUACAAAGCUAGA